UACGAAGGGGGCUAGCGUUGCUCGGAAUCACUGGGCGUAAAGCGCACGUAGGCGGAUCGUUAAGUCAGGGGUGAAAUCCUGGAGCUCAACUCCAGAACUGCCUUUGAUACUGGCGACCUUGAGUUCGGGAGAGGUGAGUGGAACUGCGAGUGUAGAGGUGAAAUUCGUAGAUAUUCGCAAGAACACCAGUGGCGAAGGCGGCUCACUGGCUCGGUACUGACGCUGAGGUGCGAAAGCGUGGGGAGCAAACAAG
rnacentral:rRNA from 1 species